rnacentral:rRNA from 1 species
CCUACGGGUGGCAGCAGUGGGGAAUAUUGGACAAUGGGGGGAACCCUGAUCCAGCCAUGCCGCGUGUGUGAAGAAGGCCCUCGGGUUGUAAAGCACUUUCAGUGAGGAAGAACGCCUGGUGGUUAAUACCCAUCAGGAAAGACAUCACUCACAGAAGAAGCACCGGCUAACUCCGUGCCAGCAGCCGCGGUAAUACGGAGGGUGCGAGCGUUAAUCGGAAUUACUGGGCGUAAAGCGCGCGUAGGUGGCUUGAUAAGCCGGUUGUGAAAGCCCCGGGCUCAACCUGGGAACGGCAUCCGGAACUGUCAAGCUAGAGUGCAGGAGAGGAAGGUAGAAUUCCCGGUGUAGCGGUGAAAUGCGUAGAGACCGGGAGGAAUACCAGUGGCGAAGGCGGCCUUCUGGACUGACACUGACACUGAGGUGCGAAAGCGUGGGUAGCAAACAGGAUUAGAUACCCUGGUAGUC